rnacentral:rRNA from 1 species
CCUACGGGAGGCAGCAGUGGGGAAUAUUGGGCAAUGGGCGCAAGCCUGACCCAGCAACGCCGCGUGAAGGAAGAAGGCUUUCGGGUUGUAAACUUCUUUUCUCAGGGACGAAGAAAGUGACGGUACCUGAGGAAUAAGCCACGGCUAACUACGUGCCAGCAGCCGCGGUAAUACGUAGGUGGCAAGCGUUAUCCGGAUUUACUGGGUGUAAAGGGCGUGUAGGCGGGAAAGCAAGUCAGAUGUGAAAACCAUGGGCUCAACCUGUGGCCUGCAUUUGAAACUGUUUUUCUUGAGUACUGGAGAGGCAGACGGAAUUCGUAGUGUAGCGGUGAAAUGCGGAGAUAUUAGGAGGAACACCAGUGGCGAAGGCGGUCUGCUGGACAGCAACUGACGCUGAGGCGCGAAAGCGUGGGGAGCAAACAGGAUUAGAUACCCGAGUAGUC